GUGGGGAAUCUUCCGCAAUGGACGAAAGUCUGACGGAGCAACGCCGCGUGAGUGAAGAAGGUUUUCGGAUCGUAAAGCUCUUUCGUUAGGGACGAACGUGCUCUUUGUGAAUAAUGAGGAGUAAUGACGGUACCUAAAUAAGAAGCCACGGCUAACUACGUGCCAGCAGCCGCGGUAAUACGUAGGUGGCAAGCGUUGUCCGGAAUUAUUGGGCGUAAAGCGCGCGCAGGCGGGAUAGCAAGUCUGUCUUAAAAGUGCGAGGCUCAACCUCGUGAGGGGACAGAAACUGGUAUUCUUGAGUGUCGGAGAGGAAAGUGGAAUUCCAAGUGUAGCGGUGAAAUGCGUAGAGAUUUGGAAGAACACCAGUGGCGAAGGCGACUUUCUGGACGAUGUCUGACGCUGAGGCGCGAAAGCUAGGGGAGCGAACGGGAUUAGAUACCCGGGUAGUCC
rnacentral:rRNA from 1 species